rnacentral:rRNA from 1 species
UACGUAGGGUGCAAGCGUUGUCCGGAAUUAUUGGGCGUAAAGAGCUCGUAGGCGGUCUGUCGAGUCGGAUGUGAAAACCCAGGGCUCAACCCUGGGCCUGCAUUCGAUACGGGCAGACUAGAGUUCGGUAGGGGAGACUGGAAUUCCUGGUGUAGCGGUGAAAUGCGCAGAUAUCAGGAGGAACACCGGUGGCGAAGGCGGGUCUCUGGGCCGAAACUGACGCUGAGGAGCGAAAGCGUGGGGAGCAAACAGG